rnacentral:rRNA from 1 species
UACGAAGGGGGCUAGCGUUGUUCGGAAUCACUGGGCGUAAAGGGCGCGUAGGCGGCUUUAUAAGUCGGGGGUGAAAGCCUGUGGCUCAACCACAGAAUUGCCUUCGAUACUGUAUGGCUUGAGACCGGGAGAGGGAUGCGGAAUUCCAGGUGUAGCGGUGAAAUGCGUAGAUAUCAAGAGGAACACCUGAGGUGAAGACGGGUUGCUGGGCUGACACUGACGCUGAGGCACGAAAGCUAGGGUAGCAAACGGG